rnacentral:rRNA from 1 species
GAAAGUAAGCAAGGGCAGACGGUGGAUGCCUUGGCUCUCGGAGGCGAUGAAGGACGUGAUAAGCUGCGAUAAGCUUGGGGUAGGUGCAAAUAACCUUUGAUCCCAAGAUUUCCGAAUGGGGCAACCCGGCUGGUAGAAGGCCAGUCAUUCCGUAAGGAAGGCGAACGUGGGGAACUGAAACAUCUAAGUACCCAUAGGAGAAGAAAACAAAAGUGAUUCCGCAAGUAGUGGCGAGCGAACGCGGAACAGCCCAAACCGAUGAUGUUUAGGCAUUGUCGGGGUAGUAGGACCACGUUGUGGCAAGAGAUUAAGGAAGUAGAACGUUUUGGAACAAACGGCCGUAGACGGUGAAAGCCCAGUAUACGACUCUUUAACGAAGCCUAGUGGAAUCCUGAGUAGCGCGGAGCACGAGAAAUUCUGUGUGAAUCAGCGGGGCCCAUCCCGUAAGGCUAAAUACUCCCGAGAGACCGAUAGCGAACCAGUACUGUGAAGGAAAGGUGAAAAGCACCUCGAACAGAGGAGUGAAAUAGUCCCUGAAACCGUCUGCCUACAAGCGGUCGGAGCACAUUAAAGUGUGACGGCGUGCCUUUUGCAUAAUGAACCUACGAGUUACUUUCUCCGGCAAGGUUAAGGGCUUCAGGCCCGGAGCCGAAGCGAAAGCGAGUCUUAAUAGGGCGUGAUAGUCGGAGUGAGUAGACGCGAAACCAAGUGAUCUACCCUUGGUCAGGAUGAAGGUUGGGUAACACCAACUGGAGGUCCGAAUGGGUAUACGUUGAAAAGUGUUCCAAUGAACUGAGGGUAGGGGUGAAAGGCUAAUCAAACUUGGAGAUAGCUCGUACUCCCCGAAAUGCAUUUAGGUGCAGCCUUUAUUUAGUAUAGCAUGAGGUAGAGCGACUGAUUGGAUGCGAGGGCUUCACCGCCUAUCAAGUCCAGAUAAACUCCGAAUGCGUGCUAUAUAUAGAUAAGGAGUGAGGGCGCGGGUGCUAAGGUCCGCGUCCGAGAGGAGAAGAAUCCAGACCAUCAGCUAAGGUCCCCAAAUAACAGUUAAGUUGAACUAACGAAGUCGGACUGCAGAGACAGCUAGGAUGUUGGCUUGGAAGCAGCCAUUCAUUUAAAGAGUGCGUAACAGCUCACUAGUCGAGGAGUCCGGCGUGGAUAAUACUCGGGCAUAAACUGUUUACCGAAGCUAUGGAUGUAGAAAUACAUGGUAGGGGAGCAUUCCAACGGCGUCGAAGGUGAAGGAUGACCUUUGCUGGAGCUUUUGGAAACGCAAAUGUAGGUAUAAGUAACGAUAAAGGAGGUGAGAAACCUCCUCGCCGAAAGACUAAGGUUUCCUGAUCAACGUUAAUCGGAUCAGGGUAAGUCGGGACCUAAGGUUAAGCCGAACGGCGAUACCGAUGGAAGAAUGGUUUAAUAUUCCCAUACUACUUUAUGGAGCGAUGUGGAGACGGAGAAGUGAAAGUCCUGCCAUCUGACGGAAUAGGUGGUUGAAGAGUGUAGAUGUAGAUUCCUGUAGGCAAAUCCGCAGGGAGAGUCGACCUUGACAGUAUGCCGCGUGCUUGCACAAGGCAAAAUGGACGUAAUCAGGCUCCCAAGAAAAUCCGCUAAGCAUAUUCAUAAAGUACCCGUACCGUAAACGGACACACGUAGUUGGGUUGAAAAUACUGAGGCGCUCGAGUGAUUCACGGUUAAGGAACUAGGCAAAUUGACCCUGUAACUUCGGGAUAAAGGGUCCCUACUGAGAGGUAGGGCGCAGAGAAUAGGUCCAGGCAACUGUUUAACAAAAACACAUGGCUGUGCGAAAUAGAAAUAUGAAGUAUACAGCCUGACACCUGCCCGGUGCUGGAAGGUUAAGAGGAGAGCUCAUCGCAAGAGAAGGCUUGAAUUGAAGCCCCAGUAAACGGCGGCCGUAACUAUAACGGUCCUAAGGUAGCGAAAUUCCUUGUCGGGU